UCUUGUAUAGCUCAGUUGGUUAGUGUGUGGUGCUGAUAACACCAAGGUUGCAAGUUUGAGCCCUGAAUGGCAGAAU